rnacentral:sRNA from 1 species
AGCAGCCGCGGUAAUUCCAGCUCCAAUAGCGUAUAUUAAAGUUGCUGCAGUUAAAAAGCUCGUAGUUGAAUUUCGGGACCAAUAUGUCGGUCGUGCUUCGGUACGUACUGUCAUAAUUGGUUUCUCCCUUCUGAAGAACCUUGAUGUCAUUAAUUUGGUGUCUUGGGGAAUCAGGACUGUUACUUUGAAAAAAUUAGAGUGUUUAAAGCAGGCUCGCGCUUGAAUACAUUAGCAUGGAAUAAUGAAAUAGGACGUUUGAUCCUAUUUUGUUGGUUUCUAGGAUCGACGUAAUGAUUAAUAGGGAUAGUUGGGGGCAUUAGUAUUCAAUUGUCAGAGGUGAAAUUCUUGGAUUUAUUGAAGACUAACUACUGCGAAAGCAUUUGCCAAGGAUGUUUUCAUUAAUCAAGAACGAAAGUUAGGGGAUCGAAGACGAUCAGAUACCGUCGUAGUCUUAACCAUAAACUAUGCCGACUAGGGAUCGGAUGAUGUUAAUUUUUAAUGACUCAUUCGGCGCCUUAAC